rnacentral:rRNA from 1 species
UGAGGAAUAUUGGACAAUGGGCGCAAGCCUGAUCCAGCCAUGCCACGUGCAGGAAGAAGCAUCUAUGGUGUGUAAACUGCUUUUGUACGGGAAGAAACACUCCUUCGUGAAGGAGCUUGACGGUACCGUAAGAAUAAGGAUCGGCUAACUCCGUGCCAGCAGCCGCGGUAAUACGGAGGAUCCAAGCGUUAUCCGGAAUCAUUGGGUUUGAAGGGUCCGUAGGCGGUUUAGUAAGUCAGUGGUGAAAGCCCAUCGCUCAACGAUGGAACGGCCAUUGAUACUGCUAGACUUGAAUUAUUAGGAAGUAACUAGAAUAUGUAGUGUAGCGGUGAAAUGCUUAGAUAUGUCAUGGAAUACCAAUUGCGAAGGCAGGUUACUACUUGUGGAUUGACGCUGAUGGACGAAAGCGUGGGGAGCGAACA